AGGUGGGUCACCUGGUGAUUUUGUUAAAAUGCAGAUUCUGGUUCAGUGAGCCUGGGCAGGGCCUGGGAAUCUGCAUUUUCACGAGUUUCCAGAGAUGCCGAG
rnacentral:miRNA from 1 species